rnacentral:lncRNA from 10 species
AGGAGAAAUAACCUGUCCAAAUCUUGUGUGUGAUUGGCAACCUCUUGAGGAGUAGGAACUGGAUCAGCUUUGUGGACACGUGACCUGGGCUGUUCCACAGGCCCCCACACUGAGGAGGGCCCCACGCCUGUUUCAGUGGUCUGCUGUGGAAAUCCUUAAUUUUUUUUUUUUUUUUUUUUGAGACAGAGUCUCACUUUGUUGCCCAGGCUGGAGUGCAGUGGCGCAAUCUCAGCUCACUGCAACUUCUGCCUCCCGGGUUCAAGUGAUUCUCCUGCCUCAGCCUCCCUAGUAGCUGGGAUUACAGAUGUGCACCACCAUGCCCAGCUAAUUUUUGUAUUUUUAGUGGAGAACAGGUUUCACCAUGUUGGUCAGGCUGGUCUUGAACUCCUGACCUCGUGAUCCACCCACCUCUGCCUCCCAAAGUGCUGGGAUUACAGGCGUGAGCCACUGCGCCUGGCCUGUGGAAAUCCUUAAUUUGUGAAUGAGGUGCCUGCAUUUCAUUUUGCACCUGCAAAUGAUGUAGCUGGUCCUGCAUGUGGCCCCUUUCCCAGACCGUGACCUAUUAGGGCUGUGCACCCAAUGAAGAUGGCUGUCAGAAUGCCAGAAACACUUUAUGGCAUGCGUUUAUUUACUUGUCGCUCUCCCCACUCUUCCACCCCUUCCAGCCUGGGGACUGUUUGGGGGCAGCACAGAGGAGAUGUGCAGGAAAUGUUUGUUGAAUGAAUUUUCUCAUGAAUGAAUGGACUGUUGAUUCAACCAAGACAAAGGAAGGCCAGGUGCCCAUUGGUGGAGGUUUUCUCUCAGGCAUCCCCGCACUCUUGGGGUCCAAGAAGGUCCCCCACCCUCGCAGGCUCAGAAGUGCCUGCUCCCGCUGCCUGGCUUCUCCCUGCUGUUGGUGCCAGCUCUGAUCUCAGAGCAAAGUCGGGGCUGAGUCUGGGUGCUGUUGCAGCCGGUCUGGAUCUUCGCACACUCAGGGCAGUGUUGACAUGCUAGCCCCUUGCUGCCUUGGCCCCCUCUGGACUUUGGGAACCAACAACCUUAGGAGGGAAGCCAAGGGGGGCUGAGGGCAGCAGGCACCCUUUGGCACCUACAGCCUAGGUGCCAAAAACAGCAGCAGGAGGCAGACAGGUUCCUUAGCAGAAGGGGGUGGUGAGACCCCAGUGAGACCUUACCUUCAGGCUAGGAGAGUCUGAAAACUGGGGGCUGGGCUGCCAGUUCUGCAGAGCAGGAACUUGUGGUGCCUUUUCCGGGCCCACCUAUGGCCACCCAUGGACCAAUCAGCGUGCAAUUCUUCCCCUCUGAGGCCCAUAAAAGCCCCAAGAUCAGCCAGAGCUGAGCGGAUGUCAGGAUGACCAGCUGCAGAGUAGCUACCCACUUCAGGGCCUCCUCUCUGUUGAGAGCUACAGAGACGAUGGGAUGACCUGCCUGCAGAGAUGAGCCACCCACUCUAUGGUCUCCUCUCUGCUGAGAGCUGCACAGAUGACUGGAUGACCAGCUGCAGAGAGGAGCUACCCUCUCCGCUAGGAGCUGAACACUUGUGGGAACACCCUGGCUGCAGAAAGGAGCUGCCCCCUGCCAGUUUCCUCUGAGCUGUUCUAUUGCUCAAUAAAGCUCCUCUUCAUCUUG